GACGAACGCUGGCGGCGUGCUUAACACAUGCAAGUCGAACGGAAAGGCCCUGCUUUUGUGGGGUUCUCGAGUGGCGAACGGGUGUGUAACACGUGAGUCACCUGCCCCUGACUUUGGGAUACCCUCAGGAAACUGGGGCUAAUCCCGGACAGCAGCUCUUGCUGCAUGGUGGGGGUUGGAAAGUUUCGGCGGAUGGGGAUGGACUCGCGGCUUAUCAGCUUGUUGGUGGGGAAGUGGCUUACCAAGGCUUUGAGGGGUAGCCGGCCUGAGAGGGUGACCGGCCACAUUGGGACUGAGAUACGGCCCAGACUCCUACGGGAGGCAGCAGUGGGGAAUCUUGCACAAUGGGCGGAAGCCUGAUGCAGCGACGCCGCGUGCGGGAUGACGGCCUUCGGGUUGUAAACCGCUUUCGGCUGGGACGAAGCGAAAGUGACGGUAAUGGGAGAAGAAGCCCCGGCUAACUACGUG
rnacentral:rRNA from 1 species